CAUUUCAACCUUCCUUUGCUUUUACCCUAUCAUGCUCCCUCACCCCACAAAGCUUUUGUACAUUCUGCAUCUCCUUCCUGGAACAUUCUACCUCCCUCUUCAUCUAGGUCUCUGCCUGAGCUCAGGUUCCCUAAAAAGCCUGGUCUGAGGCAGUGACUAAAAAGGCUCCUAUUUUGUGUAAGGACGUGUAAACUCAUGGCAAGAAGGUGAGGAAAACAGCUACAGCGGGAAGGAUGAGAAGCAAUGCGAAGUGACAUAUACCAUCCUGGCCACAGCUUCCCAAGUUGGGUCCUUUGCUGGGUGCAUUCAUGUGGCCAUGAGGGACAUCUCAGAGAGGCUGCAGAGAUCAGAAAAACUCAUCAAAAUGGAGACCUGCAAAUAAGAGGAGGAAGAGGGAGGAGAGAGAACACAGAAAUCUUCCGAGUGGCUUCAGUGACAGGAGGGGAGGAGUCACCACCUGCCAUUUGCAUGUAAGUGUUUUUGUUCCUCUCAUUAGUACUCCUAUUUAUGCAUGUGUGUGCAGGAUCUUCAAAAUCCAGGUAAGAAACACAGUGAGGAACUCAUCUACCGCAAGCUUUGCCCCAUCCGUCAGUACCAAUGAAGAGAGACAAAUCAGGAUAGAAAGACAUCACUACUAUCUCUAUUGUCAGUGACAUUAUGGACUAAUGAAUAAAAAUAACUGCUUUACACAG